AGAGUUUUGCGGCCGGUCUGUAAACCCCCAGCGUGUCACCGUGUGUCGCCCCGACGGCCGGAAGUGCGUCAGCGGAGCGGCCACCUUCCGUAAUUACAUGUCAAGGCAGGCGAAUGGGACGCAUCCCCUUUAAACAUGGCGGAGACCCACAGCCUGCAGGACAUUAGGCAGCAGGCAUCCGUUGCUGCUAAAGUUUUCAUCCAGAGGGACUACACUAAUGGCACCAUGUGCCAGUUCCAGACCAAGUUCCCGUCUGAACUGGAGUCCAGGAUUGACAAGCAACAGUUUGAGGAGACCCUGCGGAUGCUGAAUAACCUGUACGCCGAAGCAGAGAAGCUGGGUGGCCAGUCUUAUGUGGAGGGCUGCUUAGCUUGUCUCACCGCAUAUACCAUCUUCCUGUGCAUGGAGACUCACUAUGAGAAGGUUUUGAAGAAGAUAGCCAAGUAUAUCCAAGAGCAAAAUGACAAGAUCUAUGCACCUCGUGGCCUGCUGCUCACUGACCCUAUUGAAAGAGGCCUGAGAGUUGUUGAAAUAACAAUUUUCGAGGACAGAAGCACUGGUUCCGGAAGAUAAAACUCACAAGAGAUGAGAGUUGUAUAUAUUUCAGAUGAUCCAACGGUCAGUCAGAGUACAAGUGUGGCUUCCCCCAGAGAGCAGACCCAUUGAGUGAUGUGCAGCCAACUUGACCGAACACCUUGUGUCUCUGAAAAUGGCUUCGUCUCCUCCAAAGCCCAGCUCGAGUGCUGGUACAGCAGGCCUCUGCAGCCAUCCUUCAAGCCAUCUCGAAUUCCAGUGGAGGGGAAACGACAGUAUCUAAUGACCUCUGUUGACUAUAUGUACAUACACACCCCUUAUUGCUUUGCCCACGGUUCUCACAUAGUAAAUGAUUAACAUUUAUGAAAAGGUGAAAUGAUUUUACAUUUUGUAGGACUGGCAUCUGCUGGUGGUUCUACGCCUUUUCCUCGGGAGAAUCAUAUACAUUUUAUUCAUUUAAAUUAUUUAUUGAAUAUCAUAAUAAUUAAAGCAGGACGUGGGUAUAGAAAACUGAUACACAGGGCACACUAGAAAAACUCUGAGACCCCAGCGGUAGAAGCUAGUGACACUGUCACCAUUCGACAGUUAAAAUCAUUCAGUCCUCAGUGCUAUGUUGCUGUUUGACUCUGACCAUAAGGCAUAUCACUCUUCUUUUGUAAAUCACUGCUGUGCCAUAUGUUUGUACUAAUAAUGGAUAAUCCUGUCCAUGUGUAAUCACGCUAAAAAGGAAAAUAAGUGUUGUGUAAUCUGCAUUGACUUAUUCCGAGGUUUUGUGUUGGUGAUGUGUGAUUCAGUAUUUCCAUAUUUUCACAUAUACAUGCCAGUUCUUUAGAACAAUAAUGUCAUUUUCAUGUAUGAUUACAGUUGUGAGGUAUAUAGCACAUUACACAAUGUUGAGGUUCUUUAAAAUGUUCUUUAAGAUGUUAUUGCUAAAUAUUCCCAAAGUGAGUGUGGUCAUUUCUGGAUAAAAGUAUUCAUGAGACUAUCACAGAAACCUUAAGAUCACCUUUACUUAAGUGUCUAUAAUGCAUUUACAUGUGAUGUAAUGCAAUUACAAAUGUAUAUUUGACUAUAUAUGUACACAUACUUUGAAAAAAUACAUUAGGAAGAUGCGUAUAGAUGUGUUUUUAUUUGGGGAAAGGCUCUUGUGGCAUUGAUGAUCUGUUCUUCGAAGAUAGGCUCAUUCUUGUAUGCCUUAAUGUCAUGUUACUUUAAUCAGUAUGCCCUUAAUACAGUAGUGAAAUACACCUUCAGGCCAAGAUGAACUUGAAAUAAAAAGCACACAGUCAGCUUGGGAUAUAGUUUUGAUCCCCAGCUGCAUGCUGAAGGCAAAAUAUAUAUACUGCAAAAGAGCAACAUGCAAGAAGAAGCACUAUUUGAGGUUUGUGCUGUAACUGUUCAUUUUAAAUGAAUGAAUUUUAUUAUCCAUGCUGUGAUGGCAACAGCCAUAAGAUGUAAGGAUGCGGAAAGGGCAACGUGUUAAUAAAUAAUAAAAAAAAGUUUGUGUUAGAA